AAGUCGAACGCUGAAGCUCCAGCUUGCUGGGGUGGAUGAGUGGCGAACGGGUGAGUAACACGUGAGUAACCUUCCCUUGACUCUGGGAUAAGCCCGGGAAACUGGGUCUAAUACCGGAUAUGACCUCCUGUCGCAUGGUGGGGGGUGGAAAGAUUUAUCGGUCUUGGAUGGACUCGCGGCCUAUCAGCUUGUUGGUGAGGUAAUGGCUCACCAAGGCGACGACGGGUAGCCGGCCUGAGAGGGUGACCGGCCACACUGGGACUGAGACACGGCCCAGACUCCUACGGGAGGCAGCAGUGGGGAAUAUUGCACAAUGGGCGCAAGCCUGAUGCAGCGACGCCGCGUGAGGGAUGACGGCCUUCGGGUUGUAAACCUCUUUCAGUAGGGAAGAAGCCUUCGGGUGACGGUACCUGCAGAAGAAGCGCCGGCUAACUACGUGCCAGCAGCCGCGGUAAUACGUAGGGCGCGAGCGUUAUCCGGAAUUAUUGGGCGUAAAGAGCUCGUAGGCGGUUUGUCGCGUCUGCCGUGAAAGUCCGGGGCUUAACCCCGGAUCUGCGGUGGGUACGGGCAGACUAGAGUGCAGUAGGGGAGACCGGAAUUCCUGGUGUAGCGGUGAAAUGCGCAGAUAUCAGGAGGAACACCGAUGGCGAAGGCAGGUCUCUGGGCUGUUACUGACGCUGAGGAGCGAAAGCAUGGGGAGCGAACAGGAUUAGAUACCCUGGUAGUCCAUGCCGUAAACGUUGGGCACUAGGUGUGGGGGACAUUCCACGUUUUCCGCGCCGCAGCUAACGCAUUAAGUG
rnacentral:rRNA from 1 species